GAUGAACGCUGGCGGCGUGCCUAAUACAUGCAAGUCGAGCGAACGGACGGGAAGCUUGCUUCUCUGAUGUUAGCGGCGGACGGGUGAGUAACACGUGGAUAACCUACCUAUAAGACUGGGAUAACUUCGGGAAACCGGAGCUAAUACCGGAUGAUAUUUUGAACCGCAUGGUUCAAAAGUGAAAGACGGUCUUGCUGUCACUUAUAGAUGGAUCCGCGCUGCAUUAGCUAGUUGGUAAGGUAACGGCUUACCAAGGCAACGAUGCAUAGCCGACCUGAGAGGGGGAUCGGCCACACUGGAACUGAGACACGGUCCAGACUCCUACGGGAGGCAGCAGUAGGGAAUCUUCCGCAAUGGGCGAAAGCCUGACGGAGCAACGCCGCGUGAGUGAUGAAGGUCUUCGGAUCGUAAAACUCUGUUAUUAGGGAAGAACAUAUGUGUAAGUAACUGUGCACAUCUUGACGGUACCUAAUCAGAAAGCCACGGCUAACUACGUG
rnacentral:rRNA from 1 species